rnacentral:tRNA from 1 species
GCCUUCGUGGCGUAAUGGUCAAACACACUCGGCGCGUAUCCGAGAGGUCAGUGGUUCGAUUCCCGGCGAGGGCA